AACGGAAGCAGGAGGAGGAGCAGAAGCAGCAGGAGCAGAGGCCAGAGGAGGAGCAGAGGCAGGAGUAGCAGGAGUAGCAGAAGCAGGAGGAGGAGGGGGAGCAGCAGCAGAGGCAGCAGCCGCGGGGCGGGGCGUGCUGCCCGCGCUCCUCCCUGGGCACCGCCUCGCGGCCGCUGCGAGACGGAACAAGAUGGCGGCGGGCGGGACACCGCGGUCUGAGCCGCGGGCGGCGCUGGGGCAGCGCGGGGCGCUCCGGGCCGGCCGAGGGACUGACGGGAAAGGCUGAUGAAACACGGGCAGCAUCAAGAGGCAACAACACUGGUCACACCAACACCAAACUGAGACUCAACCACAACCCUUUAUAUGGAAUUGUUUGUUGAAAGAGCAAGCUGCAGUACUGAAAGCAGUCACUGCUUGACUGCAUGAGACCAUAUCUCUCAGAGGGCAAAUGAUGUCUUCAAAAAGUUUAAGUCCUUUCAAGUUUUGUCUUCCUAAGGCAAAAAUAAAACAGUGACUGACUUUUCGUUGAUCUGUUACUUUAAUGACUGGGGAGAGGGAAAGCUAAGGUUCCUGCUUGGGAUGAACCCAGAUGUCUGAAGAUCCAAAACCUGCAGGCUGUAGUGUUGUUCUUUAAAUCUCACGUAACACUCAAGAAAAGCAAAUGCAAAAGUGGUCCACGGCUAUCAACUGCGACUAGUGAGGAAAACGAACUCGUAGUUGACUUUUUGUGUCUACAAGUACAUAAUUUUUCUUCCUGCUUUGAUUCCUUAUCUGCAAAGUGAGGUAACUUUUUAUAUAAGCAGUCAGGCACCCAUUAAGUACUGAAAUGGUAAUGUUAUAGAAAAAUAAAAGUAUUUCAGCUUCUUUAUGCACCCAAUUUCAAAUAUAUGCCUGAAAAUGUCAUUAACAGCAGAGAAAAUUUUGCCCUGAAAAUUGUUCAGUAUGAAAUACUGGCUGAUUAUUCAGAACUAUCAUCUGGAACAGACAUAGUAAAGUGUAUUUCAGAUACCUGCAUUUGCAGAUGCUUCUGUAGUUUUUUUUUUUUUUAUUGGAUGACAUAUCUUUGUCAGUCUACAUUUUCUUUUAUUAAGAGUGCUGUAUUUAUGGUCCGUGUUAAAGUGGUUAGCAAAAUAGAGCACAUAAUUUAUGUUUAAACUUUCUUAACCAUAAAAAAAUUUACAUUACAAUCUGUCACUGAAAGAAAUUUUGUUCAAUUUUUCAAGCUCUUAUAUAUUUAUACAGUUGCCUUGAAGAGAAAUAAAAUGUGUUGCUCUAAGCUGAACUGCAAGGAUUGGAUUACUUUAUAAUAGAAGUUCUAACUAGCUGAUACCAUUAUUUUAUAUACCAUUAACACUUAACAGAAUGAUGUUUCCCUCAGGUUCAAUAACUAAGAAAUUCAAGAUUCGAAGUGUAAUUUUUUUUAUUGUGCAUUACACUGUGGAUUAGUAAAACUCCAGUUAAAAAAAAAUUUUGCUUUUUUUACACUUUGAAAUCAUACUGCUGUUCAUGUUCCUAUUCAGUAAAAAUGCUGUGUUUUCCUGUUUCUUACUUGAAAUAUGGCUAAACCCAUACCCUCAUUCUAGAAUUUCUUAAAAAAAAAAAGAUUUUGCAAAACUUAAAUCCAUAAAACCUAAAACUUCAUUCAUACAUCGUUCUACCUUUCAGAAGACAGAAAUAAG